UACAAAAUGAAUGGUCAGGUUUUAUUUUAGAGAAAUAACUAUAAAAGAAAAAUAUCUCUUCGCAACGACGUCGUUUAAGUGGUGAAAGUCAUCGCGGUCAGAAUUCAAGAGAGAACAGUUGUUCCUUAGCCACCACGACCUUGGAUAACUCGAAAGACAAAUUAGAAAGGAAAGGAAAUUAGAGAUUGGUGUAACCUGAAACAACUAAAAUUUGAUUCAGAAAUUUCGCCAUGAAAUCCAUCUUCCUUCUCUUUCUCUUCUCAGCCCUUGUUUCUGUUUCGACCCAAUCCACCGAUUCAAAAGGCCCAACAAUUCCGCCGUCCUCUGCCCACGCUCGCCUUUGCCAAUUACGGAUUUCCGUUCGGCCUUCUGCCGUCUACUGUCUCGAGCUACACCAUUAAUGAGACCUCCGGAGACUUCUCUUUAGACCUGGGUGAUUCGUGCAAGUUCACGCUUCCACCGGACAACUACGUGGCUUCCUUUUCUAGGGUUGUCACCGGUAAGAUUGCAAAGGGUCGAAUCCACAAUCUCAACGGGAUUCGAGUCCGCGCGUUGUUCCAGUGGUGGUCGAUUACUGGAAUUAAGUCCACCGGCGAGGAUUUGGUGUUCGAGGUGGGGAUGCUCACCGCUAAGUAUCCGUCCAAGAGUUCCAACGACAGCCCUGUGUGUGAGCCCUGUCUGUCGGCUUCGUAACAGCUUCGGGUUUCUUCAAUUCACUGUAUUUCUGCUUCUUUUAAGGCCUUUCAUUCACUUCAAGCAUAGAUAUGAUAUGAACUUACCGGAUAAUGCAUAUCAUGUUAUCAUCAAUGUUUCGAGGUAUUUGUUCUUUAAAAUGCAAUAUUAACCUUCUAUCUAUGCUGCCUGUGCAUCCGCCUGCUAUUUCUAUAUAUUACUUCUGCUUAUUGCAAUUCGUAGCUUUGGAUUAAUACUCUAUUUCAAUAAUAUUAGUUUGUUUAGUGCUUGAUCA